rnacentral:piRNA from 1 species
UCCUAACAGGGAGCCACGAAGUUCCAGGGU